AGUGAACGCUGGCGGCGUGCCUAAUACAUGCAAGUCGAACGAAGUCGCGCACGGGUGAGUAAUAUCUAGUUAAUCUGCCCUACACAGAGUAACAACAGUUGGCAACGACUGCUAAUACCUCAUAUGGUAGGAUGCGACUAUAUCGUAUCAGCUAGUUGGUAAGGUAAUGGCUUACCAAGGCUAUGAUGCGUAACUGGUCUGAGAGGAUGAUCAGUAAAAUUGGAACUGAGACACGGUCCAAACUCCUACGGGAGGCAACAGUAAGGAAUAUUGCGCAAGGGGGGAAACCCUGACGAAGCAACGCAGCGUGGAGGAUGACAAUUUUCGGAGAGUAAAAUCCUGGUAUCAGGAAAGCGGUACCUGAUGAAUAAGCACCGGCGAACUCCGUGCCAGCAGCCGCGGUAAUAC
rnacentral:rRNA from 1 species